UGGGGAAUAUUGCACAAUGGAGGGAACUCUGAUGCAGCGACGCCGCGUGAACGAAGAAGGCUUUCGAGUCGUAAAGUUCUUUUAUAUGGGAAGAUAAUGACGGUACCAUAAGAAAAAGCCCCGGCUAACUACGUGCCAGCAGCCGCGGUAAUACGUAGGGGGCUAGCGUUGUCCGGAAUCACUGGGCGUAAAGGGUUCGCAGGCGGAAAUGCAAGUCAGGUGUAAAAGGCAGUAGUUUAACUACUGUAAGCAUUUGAAACUGCAUAUCUUGAGAAGAGUAGAGGUAAGUGGAAUUUUUAGUGUAGCGGUGAAAUGCGUAGAUAUUAAAAAGAAUACCGGUGGCGAAGGCGACUUACUGGGCUCAUUCUGACGCUGAGGAACGAAAGCGUGGGUAGCAAACAGG
rnacentral:rRNA from 2 species